rnacentral:rRNA from 1 species
GUGGGGAAUCUUGCGCAAUGGGCGAAAGCCUGACGCAGCCAUGCCGCGUGAAUGAUGAAGGUCUUAGGAUUGUAAAAUUCUUUCACCGGGGACGAUAAUGACGGUACCCGGAGAAGAAGCUCCGGCUAACUUCGUGCCAGUAGCCGCGGUAAUACGAAGGGGGCUAGCGUUGCUCGGAAUUACUGGGCGUAAAGGGCGAGUAGGCGGACAGCUUAGUCAGAGGUGAAAGCCCAGGGCUCAACCUUGGAAUUGCCUUUGGUACUGGCUAUCUUGAGUAUGGAAGAGGUAUGUGGAACUCCGAGUGUAGAGGUGAAAUUCGUAGAUAUUCGGAAGAACACCAGUGGCGAAGGCGACAUACUGGUCCAUUACUGACGCUGAGGCUCGAAAGCGUGGGGAGCAAACAGGAUUAGAAACCCCAGUAGUCC